CUUUAAUGGAGUGGGUGUUAUGGGCAUAUGCAAAUAUUACAAGUUUUUAGAAUGAAAUUUUAUAUUUUUUAAAUGUCAGAACACCACUUCUGAUGAUGUCCGCAGACAGGACAGAGACAAACAGGGGCAGAGGCAGCAGGUGCAAACAAAUAAGUAAGCCUUUACUAUAAUUAGGGAGGCAAGGGGGUGGGGGGGCAAGAUGGUGAUUUUAGCACCAUAGAGACAGG